AUCUAGCUGAAGAGUCCCAAAUAUGACGAAAUGCGCAUCCUGGAU
rnacentral:hammerhead_ribozyme from 1 species